rnacentral:rRNA from 1 species
GCUCAGGAUGAACGCUGGCGGCGUGCCUAAUACAUGCAAGUCGAGCGAAUGGAUUGAGAGCUUGCUCUCAAGAAGUUAGCGGCGGACGGGUGAGUAACACGUGGGUAACCUGCCCAUAAGACUGGGAUAACUCCGGGAAACCGGGGCUAAUACCGGAUAAYAUUUUGAACUGCAUGGUUCGAAAUUGAAAGGCGGCUUCGGCUGUCACUUAUGGAUGGACCCGCGUCGCAUUAGCUAGUUGGUGAGGUAACGGCUCACCAAGGCAACGAUGCGUAGCCGACCUGAGAGGGUGAUCGGCCACACUGGGACUGAGACACGGCCCAGACUCCUACGGGAGGCAGCAGUAGGGAAUCUUCCGCAAUGGACGAAAGUCUGACGGAGCAACGCCGCGUGAGUGAUGAAGGCUUUCGGGUCGUAAAACUCUGUUGUUAGGGAAGAACAAGUGCUAGUUGAAUAAGCUGGCACCUU